rnacentral:rRNA from 1 species
ACGGGUGCGUAACACGUGAGCAAUCUGCCGGGAAGUGGGGGAUAGCUCGCCGAAAGGCGAAUUAAUACCGCAUGUGGCCAGGAAGGACAUCCUUCUGAAGCCAAAGUCGCAAGACGCUUCCUGAUGAGCUCGCGGCCUAUCAGCUUGUUGGUGAGGUAACGGCUCACCAAGGCUAUGAUGGGUAGCUGGUCUGAGAGGACGACCAGUCACACUGGAACUGAGACACGGUCCAGACACCUACGGGUGGCAGCAGUCGAGAAUUUUUCACAAUGGGGGAAACCCUGAUGGAGCGACGCCGCGUGGAGGACGAAGGUCUUCGGAUUGUAAACUCCUGUCAUGCGGGAACAAGAAAGUGAUAGUACCGCAAGAGGAAGAGACGGCUAACUCUGUGCCAGCAGCCGCGGUAAUACAGAGGUCUCAAGCGUUGUUCGGAUUCAUUGGGCGUAAAGGGUGCGCAGGCGGCGUGGAAAGUUGAGUGUGAAAUCCCGGGGCUUAACCCCGGAACUGCACUCAAUACUCCCAUGCUAGAGGAAUGUAGAGGAGAGUGGAAUUCACGGUGUAGCAGUGAAAUGCGUAGA